rnacentral:rRNA from 1 species
CGAACGAGAGAGAAGGAGCUUGCUUCUUCGAUCGAGUGGCGAACGGGUGAGUAACGCAUGAGGAACCUGCCUCAAAGAGGGGGACAACAGUUGGAAACGACUGCUAAUACCGCAUAAGCCCACGGGUCGGCAUCGAUCUGAGGGAAAAGGAGCAAUCCGCUUUGAGAUGGCCUCGCGUCCGAUUAGCUAGUUGGUGAGGUAACGGCCCACCAAGGCGACGAUCGGUAGCCGGACUGAGAGGUUGAACGGCCACAUUGGGACUGAGACACGGCCCAGACUCCUACGGGAGGCAGCAGUGGGGAAUAUUGCACAAUGGGGGAAACCCUGAUGCAGCGACGCCGCGUGGAGGAAGAAGGUCUUCGGAUUGUAAACUCCUGUUGUUGAGGAAGAUAAUGACGGUACUCAACAAGGAAGUGACGGCUAACUACGUGCCAGCAGCCGCGGUAAAACGUAGGUCACAAGCGUUGUCCGGAAUUACUGGGUGUAAAGGGAGCGCAGGCGGGAAGACAAGUUGGAAGUGAAAUCUAUGGGCUCAACCCAUAAACUGCUUUCAAAACUGUUUUUCUUGAGUAGUGCAGAGGUAGGCGGAAUUCCCGGUGUAGCGGUGGAAUGCGUAGAUAUCGGGAGGAACACCAGUGGCGAAGGCGGCCUACUGGGCACCAACUGACGCUGAGGCUCGAAAGUGUGGGUAGCAAACAGGAUUAGAUACCCUGGUAG